UGUGUAAUCUUGGCACCAGAAGCCUAACUUGAGUUCUGUACGUGAAAGGGAAUUGAUAUUGUCAUUGAUGUGAAAUGGGGAAACAUCAUACCGCUCCAAGACAACGGCAAGGAAAAAUCUUCCACCACCCGAAGAUGACGAGAAAACUUCGUUGCAGUACUUACGGACUAAAGCGCGCAUUAUGAUAAACCUUGAUAGAUCCCACCGAUUCUGAUCAGGGAGGGAAAGAUAAAAAAUGGUAAUAGAUGGGAGAUAUCUGACUCUCUUUAAACAAGCAAUUGAAAACUUUGAAUUUGUAAUAACUUAGGAUUUUGCUAC
rnacentral:lncRNA from 1 species